AACGGGGGGGCAGGUGUUAUUCAUCCUGACUGGGCGUAAAGGGCAUGUAGGUCGUUUAUUUUGUUUUUAAUAAAAUUCUUUGGCUUAACCAAAGGUAUGUUAUUUUAUUUUACAUAUAAACUUGAGUUUACUUGAGUAAAACGGUAUGGAUUAGUUUAGAGAUGAAAUUCGUUGAAAUUAAACAGACCACUUGUCUGCGAAGGCAGUUUUAUAAUUGUUAACUGACGCUAAUGUGCAAAAGCGUAGGUAGCAAAUGAGAUUAGAUACCUCAGUAGUCUACGCCCUGACCGAUGAGUGCUGUAUACUGACACUUUUUUUUUAGUUGUAGGUAUCUUAGUAAACGCGUAAGCACUCCGCCUAGGAAUUACAAUCGCAAGGUUUAAACUUAAAGGAGUUGACGGAGGGUUAUCACAGCGGUGGAGCAUGUGGUUUAAUUUGAUAUACCGCGUAAAACCUUACCAGUUUUAGAACUCGCAUAUUUUUUUUAAGUAGAUUUGAUUAUUAUUAAAAUCUUUUUUGAAUUUUAAUUUUUAUUAGUAUGCGUAACAGGUGUUGCAUGGCCGUCGUCAGCUCGUGUUUUGAGGCGUUCGAUUAACUUCUUUGAACGGGCGUAAUCCCUAUUUUAAUUUUUUUAUUUUUUUUUAAAAAAGUAAUUAAAAAACUGCUCAUGAGAUAUGAGAUGAAGGUUGGGAAGAUGUCUGGUCGUCAUGGCCUAAAUAGACUGGGCUACAUACGUGCUACAAUGGUUGUUACAAUUAGAUGCAAAAAUGUGAGUUUUAGCAAAACUAUAAAAACUAUCUUAGUUCGAAUUAUUUUCUGCAAUACGAAAAUAUGAAGUAGGAAUCGCUAGUAAUCGUAUAUAAGCAUGAUACGGUGAAUACUUACCAAGCCCU
rnacentral:rRNA from 1 species